rnacentral:rRNA from 1 species
ACGGAAGGCAGCAGUGGGGAAUAUUGCACAAUGGGGGAAACCCUGAUGCAGCGACGCCGCGUGAGCGAAGAAGUAUUUCGGUAUGUAAAGCUCUAUCAGCAGGGAAGAAAAUGACGGUACCUGACUAAGAAGCCCCGGCUAACUACGUGCCAGCAGCCGCGGUAAUACGUAGGGGGCAAGCGUUAUCCGGAUUUACUGGGUGUAAAGGGAGCGUAGACGGCAAGGUAAGUCUGAAGUGAAAUGCCGGGGCUCAACCCCGGAACUGCAUUUGAAACUGUAGCCCUUGAGUAUCGGAGAGGCAAGCGGAAUUCCUAGUGUAGCGGUGAAAUGCGUAGAUAUUAGGAGGAACACCAGUGGCGAAGGCGGCUUGCUGGACGACAACUGACGCUGAGGCGCGAAAGCGUGGGGAGCAAACAGGAUUAGAUACCCUGGUA